GGCGAUCAGAUACCGCCCUAGUUCUAACCGUAAACGAUGACAACCAGCGAUUCAUCGGCGUUAAUAUACGACCCGAUUAGCAGCUUCCGGGAAACCAAAGUUUUUCGUUUCCGGGGGAAGUAUGGUUGCAAAGCUGAAACUUAAAGGAAUUGACGGAAGGGCACCACCAGGAGUGGAGCCUGCGGCUUAAUUUGACUCAACACGGGAAAACUCACCCGGCCCGGACACUGUAAGGAUUGACAGACUGAGAGCUCUUUCUUAAUUCAGUGGGUGGUGGUGCAUGGCCGUUCUUAGUUGGUGGAGCGAUUUGUCUGGUUAAUUCCGAUAACGAACGAGACUCUGGCCUAUUAAAUAGACGAGAUAUUCUAAAGUAUCUCGCGCUUCUUAGAGGGACAAGCGGCGUCUAGUCGCAUGAAAAAGAGCAAUAACAGGUCUGUGAUGCCCUUAGAUGUCCGGGGCUGCACGCGCGCUACACUGAAAGAAUCAGUGGGCGUUAUACCUAGUUCGGAAGAACCGGGUAACCCAAGUAAUUUCUUUCGUGCUUGGGAUAGGGAAUUGCAAUUAUUUCCCUUAAACGAGGAAUUCCCAGUAAACGCGGGUCAUAAGCUCGUGUUGAUUACGUCCCUGCCCUUUGUA
rnacentral:rRNA from 1 species